AACUUCCCACCGGUCACAUCUGCGUCGACGCGCCGAGGAGGGAAUGCGCGCGGAUGUUGGGGGGAGGGGCUAUCGGAAGGCACGAAAUAGAGAAACAUCAUAGGUACGUUAUGAUGGUGAAGAGGCCGGAUGGGCAUGAGGGUAGAGCGACCGUGGGAAAACAACCUCGCCAAACAGAUGUACCUAAAGGCUGCUGAACACAGUUCAGUUAUUUCUUGUCCUCUCCUGAAUGUGCGAACUCGGCCAAAUAUUUAAGCUGACAAGGGCCUUAAACAUCAGUCAACUUUCCUCAGUCCUAAUCUUGUCACACAUUCAGGUCUCCUAUCUUGGGCCACCAUCCUACCACAACCAGACAACAGUUCAAAGGAUUUGGUAAAACUUUGAAACCAAAGGAUUUAGCAGCCAAAAGUAGAUGGAAAAACAUGGGAAACUCACCUUACGCUAAGAUUGUCCAUUAUGGUGGCACAACACUUCUGCAAUAAUAAAAUAAUUCAUUAGACCAACUAA